rnacentral:tRNA from 7 species
GGGCGAUUAACUCAGCGGUAGAGUGUCACCUUCACACGGUGGAAGUCGUUGGUUCGAACCCAAUAUCGCCCACCA